UAGAGUUUUGAUCUGGCUCAGGAUGAACGCUGGCGGCGUGCCUAAUACAUGCAAGUCGAACGCUUUGUGGUUCAACUGAUUUGAAGAGCUUGCUCAGAUAUGACGAUGGACAUUGCAAAGAGUGGCGAACGGGUGAGUAACACGUGGGAAACCUACCUCUUAGCAGGGGAUAACAUUUGGAAACAGAUGCUAAUACCGUAUAACAAUGACAACCGCAUGGUUGUUAUUUAAAAGAUGGUUCUGCUAUCACUAAGAGAUGGUCCCGCGGUGCAUUAGCUAGUUGGUAAGGUAAUGGCUUACCAAGGCGAUGAUGCAUAGCCGAGUUGAGAGACUGAUCGGCCACAAUGGGACUGAGACACGGCCCAUACUCCUACGGGAGGCAGCAGUAGGGAAUCUUCCACAAUGGGCGAAAGCCUGAUGGAGCAACGCCGCGUGUGUGAUGAAGGGUUUCGGCUCGUAAAACACUGUUGUAAGAGAAGAAUGACAUUGAGAGUAACUGUUCAAUG
rnacentral:rRNA from 1 species